rnacentral:rRNA from 1 species
CCUACGGGCGGCAGCAGUGGGGAAUAUUGCGCAAUGGGGGCAACCCUGACGCAGCCAUGCCGCGUGAAUGAAGAAGGCCUUCGGGUUGUAAAGUUCUUUCGGUGACGAGGAAGGUUGGUAUGUUAAUAGCAUAUCAAAUUGACGUUAAUCACAGAAGAAGCACCGGCUAACUCCGUGCCAGCAGCCGCGGUAAUACGGAGGGUGCGAGCGUUAAUCGGAAUAACUGGGCGUAAAGGGCACGCAGGCGGUGACUUAAGUGAGGUGUGAAAGCCCCGGGCUUAACCUGGGAAUUGCAUUUCAUACUGGGUCGCUAGAGUACUUUAGGGAGGGGUAGAAUUCCACGUGUAGCGGUGAAAUGCGUAGAGAUGUGGAGGAAUACCGAAGGCGAAGGCAGCCCCUUGGGAAUGUACUGACGCUCAUGUGCGAAAGCGUGGGGAGCAAACAGGAUUAGAUACCCCUGUAGUC